AAGGUUCACAAUAUCAGCACAGAUGUCAGAGCUGCAUGAUGUUUCCUCUUUUUGGCUCAACACGAGAUACAAAACAAAGGCAGAAUUUAAGAAAAAUAUGACAUGGGAGAGCAUAUAUGGAGCAGCACAAACUGCAGGAUAAUUAAACCGAUGGGAGAGAAAGAGAAAUAUGGCGAACAAAAAGGACAAAACGUUACAAUCUAAAGAACCAAAGACAAUGAGUCUAUUCAGACAAAACAGCAUUAAUAGUGGCAAACCAAACUUUUCUCAUGUUGCACAGAUUCCUUCUGGUGUUUCAGAGCGAGUCACAGACGAGAAAGCAGUGGUUCUGUUCAUCUAACCUGCAGAAUAUUCUCCAUCAUGUUCAGCCACGGAUUAAACAAUGUAUAGAGGAAUAUGUAUAAAUGGGUAUUAUAUUUAUAAAGUACAUGUUUGGAUUUCAUGAGUACACUACAUGUUGUUCUGAAUGAAUAUGAUCUGAAUGUGACAUUUAAAGUAAUCAUUGAUGUAAUC